UACGGGGGGGGCAAGCGUUGUUCGGAAUUACUGGGCGUAAAGAGCUCGUAGGCGGUCUGUUACGUCUGCUGUGAAAACCUAGGGCUUAACCCUGGGCUUGCAGUGGAUACGGGCAGACUAGAGGUAGGUAGGGGAGAAUGGAAUUCCUGGUGUAGCGGUGAAAUGCGCAGAUAUCAGGAGGAACACCGGUGGCGAAGGCGGUUCUCUGGGCAUGUUCUGACGCUGAGGAGCGAAAGUGUGGGGAGCGAACAGG
rnacentral:rRNA from 1 species